rnacentral:tRNA from 1 species
ACCUGGCUGGCUUAGUCAGGUAAGCGUCUGACUUCGGCUCAGGUCACGAUGUCACGGUUCGUGGGUUCGAGCCCCACGUUGGGCU